rnacentral:rRNA from 1 species
UGAGUACGAGACGCUAAGGCGUCGAAGUAGUGGAUGUCAUACUUCCAAGAAAAGCUUGCACUGUCAUAGAUAAAAAAUGCCUGUACCAUAACCGACACAGGUGGGUAAGUAGAGUAUACUAAGGGGCGCGAGAUAACUCUCUCUAAGGAACUCGGCAAAAUAACUCCGUAACUUCGGGACAAGGAGUGCCUUAUUCUUAAGGUUGCAAUAACAAGAUCCAAGCAACUGUUUAUCAAAAACACAGGUCUCCGCUAAGUCGUAAGACGAUGUAUGGGGGCUGACGCCUGCCCAGUGCCAGAAGGUUAAAGAAGUCGGUUAGCAAUAGCAAAGCUGGUAACUGAAGCCCUGGUGAACGGCGGCCGUAACUAUAACGGUCCUAAGGUAGCGAAAUUCCUUGUCGGGUAAGUUCCGACCCGCACGAAAGGCGUAAUGAUUUGGAUGCUGUCUCGGAGAGGGGCUCGGUGAAAUAGACUUGUCUGUGAAGAUGCGGACUACCUGCACCAGGACAGAAAGACCCUAUGAAGCUUUACUGUAACUUGAAAUUGAAAUUGGACUUUAUUCGCGCAGUAUAGGUGGGAGGCGUUGAUUAUAAUCUUGUGGGAUUAUUGGAGCCAUCAGUGAGAUACCACUCUUGUAAUGUUAGAUUUCUAACUUUGAAUCAUUAUCUGGUCAAAGGACAGUUUCAGGCGGGCAGUUUGACUGGGGCGGUCGCCUCCUAAACGGUAACGGAGGCGUACAAAGGUUUCCUCUGAACGGUUAGAAAUCGUAUCUAGAGUGUAAAGGCAUAAGGAAGCUUGACUGUGAGACCUACAAGUCGAGCAGGGACGAAAGUCGGUCUUAGUGAUCUGACGGUACUGAGUGGAAAGGCCGUCACACAACGGAUAAAAGUUACUCUAAGGAUAACAGGCUGAUCUCCCCCAAGAGUUCACAUCGACGGGGAGGUUUGGCACCUCGAUGUCGGCUCAUCGCAUCCUGGGGCGGUAGUACGUCCCAAGGGUUGGGCUGUUCGCCCAUGAAAGCGGUACGCGAGCUGGGUUCAGAACGUCGUGAGACAGUUCGGUCCAUAUCCGGUGUAGGCGCUAGAAUAUUGAGAGGAGCCUUCUUUAGUACGAGAGGACCGAGAAGGACAUACCUCUGGUGUACCAGUUAUCGUGCCAACGGUAAACGCUGGGUAGCUAUGUAUGGAGUGGAUAACCGCUGAAAGCAUCUAAGUGGGAAGCCCACCUCAAGAUAAGUAUUCUCAUCACGUAAGUGAGUAAGGUCACGGUAAGACUAACCGUUUGAUAGGCAUUAAGUGUAAGUACAGUAAUGUAUGUGCUGAGAUGUCCUAAUAGACCGAGGAC